AUUGAACGCUGGCGGCAUGCCUUACACAUGCAAGUCGAACGGCAGCGCGGACUUCGGUCUGGCGGCGAGUGGCGAACGGGUGAGUAAUACAUCGGAACGUACCCUGUUGUGGGGGAUAACUAGUCGAAAGAUUAGCUAAUACCGCAUACGACCUGAGGGUGAAAGUGGGGGAUCGCAAGGCCUCACGCAGCAGGAGCGGCCGAUGUCUGAUUAGCUAGUUGGUGGGGUAAAGGCCCACCAAGGCGACGAUCAGUAGCUGGUCUGAGAGGACGAUCAGCCACACUGGGACUGAGACACGGCCCAGACUCCUACGGGAGGCAGCAGUGGGGAAUUUUGGACAAUGGGGGCAACCCUGACCCAGCAAUGCCGCGUGUGUGAAGAAGGCCUUCGGGUUGUAAAGCACUUUUGUCCGGAAAGAAAUCGCGCUGGUUAAUACCUGGCGUGGAUGACGGUACCGGAAGAAUAAGCACCGGCUAACUACGUG
rnacentral:rRNA from 1 species